rnacentral:rRNA from 1 species
UGCGUAGGGGGCAAGCGUUGUCCGGAUUUACUGGGCGUAAAGAGCGUGUAGGCGGCCAAGCAGGUCCGUUGUGAAAACUGGAGGCUUAACCUCCAGACGUCGACGGAAACCGCGUGGCUAGAGUCCGGAAGAGGAGAGUGGAAUUCCUGGUGUAGCGGUGAAAUGCGCAGAUAUCAGGAAGAACACCAAUGGCGAAGGCAGCUCUCUGGGACGGUACUGACGCUGAGACGCGAAAGCGUGGGGAGCGAACAGG